GUUUCUUUCUGGUUUUUACCCAGAUAGAUCUUUUGGUCCCUCGAGAGUUUAUUACCCAGUAACUUGUAAUAUCCUUCUUGAUGUUGAGUAUUUUACCUGUGUUAAUUUACCCAGUAACCGGUAAAAGGUAAUUUACUUCUUUGAUGUCCCAAGAGAAUUUGCUUUCGUUUCCCUAGUGGGUUAUCUUCUUUGUUUGCAGCAGAUUGCCAUUGGUCAAUUACCCAGUAACUGGUCAUUG
rnacentral:lncRNA from 1 species